rnacentral:rRNA from 1 species
AUCAACUUUCGAUGGUAGGAUAGAGGCCUACCAUGGUGGUAACGGGUAACGGGGUGUUAGGGCACGACACCGGAGAGGGAGCCUGAGAAACGGCUACCACAUCCAAGGAUGGCAGCAGGCGCGCAAAUUACCCAAUCCCGACACGGGGAGGUAGUGACAAUAAAUAACAAUACGGGGUUCUUUCGGAUUUCGUAAUUGGAAUGAGUACAAUUUAAAUCUCUUAACGAGGAACAAUUGGAGGGCAAGUCUGGUGCCAGCAGCCGCGGUAAUUCCAGCUCCAAUAGCGUAUAUUAAAGUUGUUGCAGUUAAAAAGCUCGUAGUUGAAUUUCGGGGUCAGUAGGUUGGUCGUGCCACUGGUACGUACUGGUCUCACUGAUUCCUCCUUCCUGAUGAACCGUAAUGCCAUUAAUUUGGUGUUGCGGGGAGACUGGACUGUUACUUUGAAAAAAUUAGAGUGUUUAAAGCAGGCUAACGCUUGAAUACAUUAGCAUGGAAUAAUGAAAUAGGACGUUCGAUCCUAUUUUGUUGGUUUCUAGGAUUGACGUAAUGAUUAAUAGGGAUAGUUGGGGGCAUUAGUAUUCAAUUGUCAGAGGUGAAAUUCUUGGAUUUAUUGAAGACUAACUACUGCGAAAGCAUUUGCCAAGGAUGUUUUCAUUAAUCAAGAACGUAAGUUAGGGGAUCGAAGACGAUCAGAUACCGUCGUAGUCUUAACCAUAAACUAUGCCGACUAGGGAUCGGAUGAUGUUAAUUUUUUAAUGACUCAUUCGGCGCCUUACGGGAAACCAAAGUGUUUGGGUUC